UACGUAGGGUGCAAGCGUUUAUCCGGAAUUAUUGGGCGUAAAGAGCUCGUAGGCGGUUUGUCGCGUCUGCCGUGAAAGUCCGGGGCUCAACUCCGGAUCUGCGGUGGGUACGGGCAGACUAGAGUGAUGUAGGGGAGACUGGAAUUCCUGGUGUAGCGGUGAAAUGCGCAGAUAUCAGGAGGAACACCGAUGGCGAAGGCAGGUCUCUGGGCAUUAACUGACGCUGAGGAGCGAAAGCAUGGGGAGCGAACAGG
rnacentral:rRNA from 1 species